rnacentral:rRNA from 1 species
AUUGAACGCUGGCGGUAGGCCUAACACAUGCAAGUCGCACGCGAAAGUCCUUCGGGAUGAGUAGAGUGGCGGACGGGUGAGUAACGCGUAGGAAUCUAUCCUGUAGUGGGGGAUAACGUUUCGAAAGGAACGCUAAUACCGCAUACGCCCCAAGGGGGAAAGCGGGGGAUCUUCGGACCUCGUGCAAUCGGAGGAGCCUGCGUCGGAUUAGCUAGUUGGUGAGGUAAAGGCUAACCAAGGCGACGAUCCGUAGCUGGUCUGAGAGGAUGAUCAGCCACACCGGAACUGAGACACGGUCCGGACUCCUACGGGAGGCAGCAGUGGGGAAUAUUGCGCAAUGGGCGAAAGCCUGACGCAGCCAUACCGCGUGUGUGAAGAAGGCCUUCGGGUUGUAAAGCACUUUCAGUGGGGAGGAAAAGCUGGUGGCUAAUAUCCAUCGGCCGUGACGCUACCCACAGAAGAAGCACCGGCUAAUUCCGUGCCAGCAGCCGCGGUAAAAC